GCAAGCUUUAGGAAACUUUAGCCCUCUCGCAAGAGACUGAAGUCGAGGUGCUGCAUGGCUGUCGUCAGCUCGUGUCGUGAGAUGUUGGGUUAAGUCCCGCAACGAGCGCAACCCUUGUCCUGUGUUGCUAACCGAAAGGUGCACUCUCAGGAGACCGCCAGCGAUAAGCUGGAGGAAGGUGGGGAUGACGUCAAGUCAUCAUGGCCUUUAUGUCCAGGGCUACACACGUGCUACAAUGGACGGUACAGACCGUCGCAAACCCGCGAGGGGGAGCAAAUCGGAAAAAACCGUUCUCAGUUCGGAUUGCAGGCUGCAACUCGCCUGCAUGAAGCUGGAAUCGCUAGUAAUGGCAUAUCAGAACGAUGCCGUGAAUACGUUCCCGGGCCUUGUACACACCGCCCGUCACAUCACGAAAGUGGAUUGUACUAGAAGUCUGCGCAAGCGGCCCAAGGUAUGAUUCAUGAUUGGGGUGAAGUCGUAACAAGGUAAC
rnacentral:rRNA from 1 species